rnacentral:rRNA from 1 species
GUGGGGAAUUUUGGACAAUGGGCGCAAGCCUGAUCCAGCAAUGCCGCGUGUGUGAAGAAGGCCUUCGGGUUGUAAAGCACUUUUGGCAGGAAAGAAAUAGCGCGUGCUAAUACCAUGCGCGAAUGACGGUACCUGCAGAAUAAGCACCGGCUAACUACGUGCCAGCAGCCGCGGUAAGACGUAGGGUGCAAGCGUUAAUCGGAAUUACUGGGCGUAAAGCGUGCGCAGGCGGUUUUGUAAGACAGGUGUGAAAUCCCCGGGCUCAACCUGGGAACUGCACUUGUGACUGCAAGGCUAGAGUGUGUCAGAGGGAGGUGGAAUUCCGCGUGUAGCAGUGAAAUGCGUAGAGAUGCGGAGGAACACCGAUGGCGAAGGCAGCCUCCUGGGAUAACACUGACGCUCAGGCACGAAAGCGUGGGGAGCAAACAGGAUUAGAUACCCUUGUAGUCC